AAGGGUAUAGUUUGGUGGAGGAGCAUAUAGCUUCAGAUCAGGAGGUCCCUGGUUCAAAUCCAGGUGCCCCUU
rnacentral:tRNA from 1 species